AGGGAUCUCACUAGUCAGACGACCUGGCCUUUCGGGGUCAGACGUGCCCCGGUACGGUACAGAUCGAUCUCACUAGUCAGACGACCUGGGCUUUCGGGGUCAGACGUGCCCCGGUACGGUACAGAUCGAUCUCACUAGUCAGACGACCUGGGCUUUCGGGGUCAGACGUGCCCCGG